rnacentral:rRNA from 1 species
GGCUGCAACUCGCCUACAUGAAGUCGGAAUCGCUAGUAAUCGCAGAUCAGAAUGCUGCGGUGAAUGCGUUCCCGGGUCUUGUACACACCGCCCGUCACACCACGGAAGUUGGGGCGCCCGAAGCCACUUAGCUAACCCUUUUGGGAAGCGAGUGUCGAAGGUGAAAUCAAUAACUGGGGUGAAGUCGUAACAAGGUACC